AGGUAGCGAAAUUCCUUGUCAGGUAAGUUCUGACCCGCACGAAAGGCGUAAUGAUUUGGGCGCUGUCUCGACAAUGUACUCGGCGAAAUUGUAGUACUAGUGAAGAUGCUAGUUACCUGCGACAAGACAGAAAGACCCCAUGGAGCUUUACUGUAGCUUGAUACUGGGUUUCGAUAAUUUAUGUACAGGAUAGGUGGGAGGCGAAGAAGCAAUUGCGCCAGCAGUUGUGGAGUCAUCCUUGGGAUACCACCCUUAAGUUAUUGAAAUUCUAACCUGUAGUCCUGAGCGGGCUAGGGGACAAUGUCAGGCGGGCAGUUUGACUGGGGCGGUCGCCUCCAAAAGAGUAACGGAGGCGCCCAAAGGUUUCCUCAGCGCGGACAGAAAUCGCGCGAAAGAGUGCAAAGGCAGAAGGAAGCUUAACUGAGAGACUGACAAGUCGACCAGAUACGAAAGUAGGUCUUAGUGAUCCGGCGGUAGUGAGUGGAAAUGCCGUCGCUCAACGGACAAAAGUUACCCUGGGGAUAACAGGCUUAUCUCCCCCAAGAGUUCACAUCGACGGGGAGGUUUGGCACCUCGAUGUCGGCUCAUCACAUCCUGGAGCGGAAGUACGUUCCAAGGGUUGGGCUGUUCGCCCAUUAAAGUGGUACGCGAGCUGGGUUCAGAACGUCGUGAGACAGUUCGGUCCUUAUCUGUCGCAGGCGAAGGAUAUUUGAGGGGAGUUGACCUUAGUACGAGAGGACCAGGUUGAACUUACCAAUGGUGUAUCAGUUGUCGUACCAACGGCACGGCUGAGUAGCUAAGUAGGGAAGGGAUAAACGCUGAAAGCAUCUAAGUGUGAAGCCCACCCCAAGAUAAGAUAUCCCAUACCGUAAGGUAGUAAGAUUCCACGUAGACUAUGUGGUAGAUAGGUUGGAGGUGUAAGUGCAGUAAUGCAUUAAGCUGACCAAUACUAAUAAAUCGAGGGCUUAACCAC
rnacentral:rRNA from 1 species